rnacentral:rRNA from 1 species
CAGUGGGGAAUUUUGGACAAUGGGCGCAAGCCUGAUCCAGCCAUGCCGCGUGAGUGAAGAAGGCCUUCGGGUUGUAAAGCUCUUUCGGCCGGGAAGAAAUCGCAUUGGUUAAUACCUGGUGUGGAUGACGGUACCGGAAUAAGAAGCACCGGCUAACUACGUGCCAGCAGCCGCGGUAAUACGUAGGGUGCGAGCGUUAAUCGGAAUUACUGGGCGUAAAGCGUGCGCAGGCGGUUUUGUAAGACAGGCGUGAAACCCCCGGGCUCAACCUGGGAACUGCGCUUGUGACUGCAAGGCUAGAGUACGGCGGAGGGGGGUGGAAUUCCACGUGUAGCAGUGAAAUGCGUAGAGAUGUGGAGGAACACCAAUGGCGAAGGCAGCCCCCUGGGUCGAUACUGACGCUCAUGCACGAAAGCGUGGGUAGCAAACAGGAUUAGAUACCCUGGUAGUCCACGCCCUAAACGAUGUCAACUAGGUGUUGGGAGGGUAAAACCUUUUAGUACCGGAGCUAACGCGUGAAGUUGACCGCCUGGGGAGUACGGCCGCAAGGUUAAAACUCAAAGGAAUUGACGGGGACCCGCACAAGCGGUGGAUGAUGUGGAUUAAUUCGAUGCAACGCGAAAAACCUUACCUACCCUUGACAUGUCAGGAAGUCUUGAGAGAUUGAGAUGUGCCCGAAAGGGAACCUGAACACAGGUGCUGCAUGGCUGUCGUCAGCUCGUGUCGUGAGAUGUUGGGUUAAGUCCCGCAACGAGCGCAACCCUUGUCGUUAAUUGCCAUCAUUUAGUUGGGCACUUUAGCGAGACUGCCGGUGACAAACCGGAGGAAGGUGGGGAUGACGUCAAGUCCUCAUGGCCCUUAUGGGUAGGGCUUCACACGUCAUACAAUGGUCGGUACAAAGGGUCGCCAACCCGCGAGGGGGAGCCAAUC